ensembl:lncRNA
CACGGUGAAAUGCAAACAUUGCAACUGUCCCCCUCCCUCUCUCUCUCUCUCUCUCUCUCUCUCUCUCUCUCUCUCUCUCUCUCUCUCUCGCUCUCUCUCUCCCUCUCUCUCCCUCCCUCUCUUUCUCUCUCUCUCCCCGUCUCUGAUGUUUUCUUUGCAGUGGUGUGAUGAAGAUCCAGAGGGUGUGAAAGUGUGUGUGUGUACGCUCAGUGUGUCUCCUUCUGAGGUACGGCAGUCUCUGUGUGUGUGUGUGUGUGUGUGUGUGUGUGUGUGUGUGUGUGUGUGUGUGUCCUCUCCUGAGGUACUGCAGUGUGUGUGUGUGUGUGUCCUCUCCUGAGGUACCGCAGUGUGUGUGUGUUUGUGUGUGUGUGUGGUAGUGCAGUGUGUGUGUGUGUGUGUCUCCUCUCCUGAGGUACUGCAGUGUGUGUGUGUGUGUGUGUGUGUGUGUGUGUGUCCUCUCCUGAGGUAAUGCAGUCUGUGUUCUCCUGCUCUGGCCCACUUUGGCUCAUCAGGACCCAGAGUGGCCUAGUUUGGCCAGAGCUUCACAUCAGACACACACACACACACAAACACACAAACACACACACACAGGCAGAACACUGACCAAGCCAAACAGACUUUCACACACAGGCAGAAGACUGUCUCUUUGCUACACAUGCACACACUCACACAUAUAGCCUACACACACACACACACACACACACACACACACACGUAGCCUACACACAUACACACACACACACACACAUAGCCUACACACACACACACACACACACAC